AUCUCUGUUUUUGGCCCAUACUACGUCUUCAAUGGCAGUACUCCACGGUAUACAGAAUGUAAGCCUUUAAGAGUCCUUGUUCCAAGAUGAAAAAGGUUGCAGUUGCAGAAAUAUGAUUCAGAGGGAUAUAACACAUAACAAAAGGCCAUAAAUCAAAGCGUUCAAUAUGAAGGCUUAAAACCAUAGGUGGAAAUAAUUACAAUGAUGCAGCGAAGAGAAGAGUUGUAACGUACGUCAAGAGGCCUGUUGGGAGGGUCUUCACCAACUUCAUAUGGUUAUAUCUCCACAAGAUUUCGUCAUGAAGGCUCCUCGGUCCUUAAUAACUUAUGCUGAUCAGACUAAUCUGAGUUCCAACCCAGCCACUGGCUAUUGUCCCUUGCCAACUACUCAUCGAACCUACCAAUUAUGCAAAACUUGCCUAACAACUAAAAGGGCCCAUCAAUUUUAAAGAACUUCAACGCGAAGAAAGCAUAGGAUAUGAGCUUAUCAUCUCUAAUACGGAAAACUUCAAUUACCUAUUAGCUAUUCAUCAGCCACAAAACAAAAUAAGUCGAAGUCAUGAAAUAUUCUGAGGUUUGAGAUCGUUUUCUAGUAAGAACAAUUCCCUGCAUUUCCAGGAAGCAAACCGGGCAUUUAUAUGAAAAAAAUGUGGAAGGCAAUGAUGUUUACCUCGGCAAUCCCUGUAUAUAAACGUGUUCUAUUUGUGAUCUCUCGACCAAUAUGACAACUUACCAGAAU
rnacentral:lncRNA from 1 species